rnacentral:lncRNA from 1 species
GUAACGCAGACCACCUGAUGGAUUUCUGUAGUCAGUGGUCUAAAGGUGGACAAGAUUCCAUGUCUCUGAGGGGUUUCCUGGCAACCUAUUGGAGCAUGGAAGUCAUGGCCUCCUUACAGAACCUGUGAUUUCUUUUGGGAACUGAAGGAAAACACUACUGUAUCUGACAAUGCCCAACACUCCUUGAAUAUUUUGUCACUUGAAUUCUCAAAAUAGCACUUUACCCUCACUAUUAUUUUUCUAAACUACCAUUUAAAGAGUUAAUGUUCUUUAGACCUCCACACUGCUGCUAACUGUCCAACAGGCAUAACACAUGAAUUCCUGAUGAGAGUUUUCAGCACAUUUCUAUUACUAUCCUGAGAUAAUAUGAUCAUGGAUAACCUUCACCAUUUUGUGAAGAUAGUUGACUAUGCAACUGAGAAGUUUAGACAUGCAGUGGUUUAGAUCUCUCCCACAGAUAUACAUUGUAGGAACCUUUCUCAAUGGUGUUUGACCUCAGGAUUUUAUUUAAUUCCCAGGAGAGUUCUAAAGCUCCAGUGUGGUGGAAAUGUGGACAAGGACUCCAAAUGCUUCUCAACUGAGUGUCUUAACCAUACCUGGCAUGUCUGCUCAAGUUUGUUGUUCUGCAGGAGAACAUUUUUCUGCCAGACAUAACUUUGGCACAUGAUGUCACACAACUUCAAAAAAUAUGUUUCAAUGAAAGUAUCAUGAUCUUUUAUUCUUUAGGAAGACCAGAGGACCAAAUUCUAGCUGCCCAAAGCUCUCAGCAUAUCUAUAUCUCAGUUUCUCUUUUACAUGUCCCUAAUUCUUGUUAUGCAUGCCUCCAUAACCACUGUUUUUGCCAAAAUAUGAAUAUAUAUUUUUUCUUGUAUGCCAAGAAGAAAAUAUGUAAAAUGUAGUCAGCAAAAAGAGAAUCAUGCUUUCAUACUCUAACUCUGCCAGGGAGAUUUGGCAGUAAUUCAAAUUCAGCUUUAUAUCUAUGCAAAAAUCCAAUCUCUCCUUUGCUGAAAAAGUUAUAUUUGAAUUGAAAGGUAUCUACAUUAGUUUCCUAAUUUUGCUCUAAAAUAUUUUCCUUUAUAAAAUUAAGGAGAUUUUUCUGUUACAACUUUAUAUUUUAUAUUCUAAAAUUUCAUAUACUAUAAAAUCACUAUACACAGUGAUUUCAUAUACCAUUGGGUAUUCAUUUUGACAUAAUGGUGUAUCAUGAAGAACUAAUUUGCUCAAACUCAGUGCCAAGUAUCUCCACAUGCUUUGUUUUCCAUACUCUAUUGAUGGGUAUCAUAGUUAGUCCUAUAACUUCAUAAUUCUGACUUGUAGUGCUAAAACAUCGAAGUUCAUAUGUAACAUGUGCAUACUGAUUUCCAUACAUUGGAAUUCAGAUCAAGGAGUGGGAAAUAUGGGUCAUGUGGCAGUCAUAUUCAUAGUAUCCAAAGGAAUCUCCAUAAUGUUUUCCAGCGUGGAAGUCAUAAUUUUAAGUAUGAUAGUGUAAGAUUGUAUUUUCCUGCCACAUCCUGCACUGCACUUAUUAUUUAACUACUUGAUAAAUGUCAUUCUGACUGGGGAAAUCUGAAAUGUUAAUGCAGUUUUGAAUGGUAUUUCCUUGAGUGCUAGAUGUUGACCAAAU